UAAUCAUUUGUCUCUUAAAUAGAGACCAGUAUGAAUGGCAAAACGAGGGCUUAACUGUCUCCCCCUUUUAAUCAGUGAAAUUGAUCUCCCCGUGCAGAAGCGGGGAUAAGCACAUAAGACGAGAAGACCCUGUGGAGCUUUAAAUAUAAGAAAGAAGCAUAUUAAAUUGCCUGUUUAACAGAGCAAACCAGAUGUCCCUCUUCCUAUUAUUUUGGUUGGGGCGACCGCGGAGUAGUAAACAACCUCCGCACGGACAGGAAGCACCCGCUUCUAUAAAACAGAACCUUAGUUCUACCUCCCAGAACUUCUGGCCAUCAGAUCCGGUACAACCGAUCAACAGACCAAGUUACCCCAGGGAUAACAGCGCAAUCCCCUUCCAGAGUCCA
rnacentral:rRNA from 1 species